AACGCGAAGAACCUUACCUGGGCUCGAAGCGCAGUGGAAUCCGGGUGAAAGUCCGGCGUCCCGCAAGGGACCAUUGCGUAGGUGCUGCAUGGCUGUCGUCAGCUCGUGUCGUGAGAUGUUGGGUUAAGUCCCGCAACGAGCGCAACCCUUAUCCCCAGUUGCCAUCAUUAAGUUGGGCACUCUGGUGAAACCGCCUCGGAUAACGGGGAGGAAGGUGGGGAUGACGUCAAGUCCUCAUGGCCUUUAUGUCCAGGGCUACACACGUGCUACAAUGGCCGGUACAAACCGUCGCAAACCCGCGAGGGGGAGCUAAUCGGAAAAAGCCGGCCUCAGUUCGGAUUAGAGUCUGCAACUCGACUCUAUGAAGCUGGAAUCGCUAGUAAUCGCGGAUCAGAACGCCGCGGUGAAUACGUUCCCGGGCCUUGUACACACCGCAUAC
rnacentral:rRNA from 1 species